GGGAGGUAUCCCAUCCCUCCCUGCCAAAGCUGCAUGUUUGGUCAAAGAGGAUGAUCUCCAAUAGAGGAUUGUUUCCUCAGUCUAGAGUAUACAAGUAGCUGCACUCCCCUGCUAGGACCUCCAAGCAAGCUCUCAAAAUGCAACCUGUUACUCCACAUGCUUGGAUGAAAGCACCAAAAUAAAUAACGAUGCAAGGCUAGCAGUAAUUUGGCAUUAUGCUGCUGGU
rnacentral:snRNA from 1 species